AAGGUUUGUGCAUAAUUCGGUGCGGCAGGCGCCUUGCGCUUAAAGUAACAUCAAAAUCGCCGGUAUCCGCCGAGUGGAUCGUCCAAAAACAUAUACAGAGUUAAGGGACUUUGCAGAAAACUAACAGCACUAUGGGAGUGACACUGGAAAGAGUACAGAACAAAUUUGCCUGCAUAAUCGGGGAACUUUGCAGCGAGCCACUUGUGUUAUCUCAGUUUGCAGUAUGGGUUGACCUGAGAAUAGCCGAGUACAAAACAAAGGGAACAAUAUCAUUAGAUUGCUCUGGAGAAUCCCCCAAUCCAGGAUGGAUGAGAGGUGUCAAAAACCAUCCUCCCAGGACUGUAGACACGGGUCAAGGGGCGCAUCGCAGGAGAGGUAGUUUUGCCAGUAGUCCCAGUAUUCACAUGAGUCCAGCAGCAUCCCCGUUAGCAAACCAGAUGUACAGUGAACGUCUCCAGUCGUCCGAUUCCCCACGUAUGUCGCAUAAUUCAGGGCAGCAGCAGAGCUUUCCAAGCAGACUCUCUCCAGACAUUGUUGUGAUAAAAAACGAACCCAGUCCUGAACAGCAGACAUCUUGUGCAUUUAGUCGAAAACGAACUGCAGACAGCUCAGAAUUGCAAUCAGACUUUUAUUCCACAGCCAAAUCGCGCCGCGUGGGUGGAUCAUCCACACUUUCAUCCUCUGCCCAAGAAUCAUCAUCCAAUCAAAGCCUUAUGUCCAUUAUCAAUACAGAGUCAGAUUCCAUCUCAUUAGAACCAGUUGAUUCAAGCGAAGCAGACAUUUUUAAAGUGACAAUGGACGCUCAAGAUGACCAAAACCAGGGACUUUCUGGCAGUCCGUCUAAUUCCACAUUCUCACCUAGGCGACUGGCAGCAUCAGCCACAACCUCCAGCGGAUCGCCAAACAACCAGUCAUGGAUGGGCUCCACGGGGGAUGCCGCACAGGGUAGCAGCUCACAAACAGACGGGACAAGUCUACAACAGCAAGUUUGGGUUCAGGAAUGCAUUGCCGGGGUAGACCUCAGAAAACCCGACUCGAUGUCGACCUUGAAGAACUGUGGCAGCGCACUGAGGACAUUGGAGACGUGGCUCACCAGAGAACCAUGGCGCGAAGCCCGCCCACUUUUGGACAUUCCACCCGCUGAACUUGACACCUACCUCACGGCGUUUUUCUUGACGAGUCGAAAACAGGACGGAACAGAGUAUUUACACAAUUCUCUGCGGGCAAUUCGCACGGGCAUCAUGCACUAUUUAUUAGACAAUGGUUACCAACACUCCAUAACUACCUCUCCAUUGUUCACAAAGAGCCAAAGUGCUUUCCGGAAAAGAAAGGCCAACGGCGUCGCUUUUGAUUCCGUUUCAGAUGCAGAAUUUUAACAUAUGUAUGUGUUACAUGUGCACAAGGCACAGCUUGAGCAACAGAUAUCAUCAGAGAUGAAUAUAAAAGAGAGUAAAGCCAAAGCGGUGUGAUAGUUAGCAAAUGACCAGAUGUGAAGCGGUGAAGUCCGUCUCCUUUUCAAUAUACCUCAAGAUCUUUCCUAGGACGUACACAUCGGACAGGGAGGCAAACGAAUCUGCGUCACCUUCUGGUACCAGGUCUGCCUUCGGUAAGGCGGAUGUGUCUCCUAAACCCUCCAUAUCCUACAACUCUGUGCGUAAAUCCACUACUUCCGUUCGUAUCCUGAUGAGCUGGCUGCACACCAAGGGGUACGACAUGAACCUUGACCUUGCUUCCAUUCCCGUGCAUGAGCUGGACGAUAUUUUGGCAGAAUUUUUCGCUUCCGUGAAGAAACUGGACGGAAAAGAAUACUUGCCCAACUCGUAUCGCUCACUGCGAACGGGACUGAUACAUUUCUUUCAAGAAACUGGGCGUGACUACAUGCUAAGCGAAAUGACAUCUUUUCCGAAGUCGGUGACAGCGUUUCGGAAACGUUUCAGGGAAAUCUCCUUGUCUUCGAGUCAUAGUGCAGGAGAACCAGUUGAAAACAUACAACUUGCACCACCUAGUGAGGUUUCUACACCGGGCAUAUCAAAAUAGUGGAUAAUAAAAGUUUAGCGAUGCGUAACUGGAUGUACUUCUCUUACAUAAUAUAAUUAAAGACAUUCAGCAUAGAGAGUAAAACCAGAGCAGCGACGACAGCAGAGUGAUGGCUGGCAAAUAGUCACACGAAACCGGUGAAAUACGGCCUCGUCAGUUUACCUUAGUGAGGGUUUUAUUCUAACUGUUAAUGUAUAUGCAUAAUUAGUAGCAAUAUACACGCCCCAAGCACCAUGGCUUAAGCAAAAUUUUAAAAAUGCAGCGAUAUUAACUGCAAUUUAAACAGACGCAGAUUCCACAAGAACUCCCCUGUAUGCGUUUGUUUUUUGAUUUGACUUCAGUUGGAGAUUUCACAUGAAUGUAAUGAUGAUUGUAGUUUAUGUGCUUAUCACAAACUACAUUAGCUUAAAUGGAUUUGUACUUCCCACUGAAGGGAGCAGUCCGUGUCUGUUAUUGAAUCCGGCUAGAAUGGCAACUUUAACAUAUAUUGUAGCCUACUUGUAUUCAUACUACUUUCCUCUAUUUACAAGCCAGUUACGAACUGGUCUCCUGGAACUGAACUAUUAUGAUUGCUUGUAUGUUUUUUUUGUUUAAAAAUCCAUGUCGUAAGUGGUGUACAGACAAUGUUGGAAAUUGUAUGUGGAUGUGGGAGAUGGAUGUGGCAUUCUCCUAUGUGCUGUUUACAACUGUGAAUGAAUGGAUUACUGGGGUGUUAAUUUGAUUCUGACACAAAGAAUCGAAGCGUGCGUUACUGAUCGUCAGGAUUUAGUACCGGAAACGCCUACAGAUGAAACUCACUAGCAGACAAUGAAUCGAUAGGCCAACAUAGCGUGAGCAGGUAGGAAUGUCGUGGUCCCUCCUGUUUUAUAAUCUCUUAAAUAAUGGGUGCGAAAUGACAUGGCAUUGUUCUAAAAGAAAAAAAUAAAGGUCAUCUGAAAUUUUUUUUUGUUCACAUUACACCAUCGAAUAUGCCUCCAGACGCAUCUACUCCUCGCCCAGUAUGCGGUUUAAACAUCUUAAUACGCUUGUCGGGCAUUCUUCCAUGACAAUUAACUAAGUUUACAGGCCCCUAGAGGCGCUCUAUCUGGGAAAUGUACUUGCAUAUAUUGCUAAGUGCAUUUAGGUGUGAGAUUCAUGCAAGGCGAACUCGAACGUAGCAGUGACAUUUGCACGUUUUUAGAUAAACGUGCUCAGUUUGACGAUAAAAUAAUGCUUAGAAGCGUGAUCACGCAUCAUUUUAACUCUAUCCCUCAUCUGCGCAACUGAACAUCUCUCUCAUUCGUUACAUUCUUUUCGGGCUCCUGUGAUGUAAUCUUGUACAACUUCCUCCAUUUCGGUUUUGCUUCAGAACGCUGUUUGAGCGACGACCGUGCGUCAAUUCACCGCCAUUUCGGACAGUAUGAAAAGGGCUCCCUGCAGUUUUCCACUGACUUGUCUCCAUGGAGGCAGGACGCCGUUGCUUCUGGUCCGGACAAGGCCGGCAUGCCCGACCGUUCUCUGUACGGCUACAGAAAAUCCAUAUCCGCCGUGAAAACGUUUCAGCUAUGGCUAGUUCACGAGCAAGAUGAAGUACGUCCCGUGGAACAAAUUGAACCUGCCACGCUAGACAGUCAUCUCACUCAGUUUUUCAGUGUAGCUAAGAAAAGAAAUGGAGAGAACUACACUGCUAAGUCGUUUGACUCCCUGCGAGAAGGCAUUAAGCUGCACCUUAAAGCCGCUAAUUACCCGCAUUGUAUUGUUACGUCACCGUUGUUCUCACGGAGUCGAAACGCGUUUAAGUUGAGGCGACGAGAUCUGAUCAACGCUCAAGGUAAUCCUCCAGACCAGUGACGACGAGUUCUGUUGAACUUUCAAGAUGAUCCCCCCUAUCUGUGAAGAGGAUACACGUUUUAGUUGAGACGACGGCAUCUGAUCAACUCUCAAGGUAAUCCUCCAGACCUGUUAAGAGGACACGCGUUUUAGUUGAGACGACGAGUUCUGAUCAACUCUCAAGAUGAUCCCCCGGAUCUGUGAAGAGGAUACGCGUUUAAGUUGAGACGACAGGAUUCGAUCAGCUCCCAAGGUAAUCUGCCAGACCUGUGAAGACAAUAUAUGAGUCCUUGGUUUCUACGUGAACAUGUAGAUAUGGUCUACGUUUAUUAUGCGUUAUUCAUAGCCAUCGGUAUAUGAGGCGAUAGCGUGCUAACCCGUAUUGAUACCAGUACUUACUCCAGGACAUUCACGUGUUCGGAUUGCUCUAUUCUCAGUACAUAAAUGAAAAUAUUUUCAUUUCAUGUGGCAUAUUCCCUGACGUGGGAUCUACGAUGAUUAUGAUGACUUUUCUCAGAUUACAUUUAACCCAGACAAAAGUUAAUAUUGAAAUAGGUGCCCAUGCUAUGAGGAUUUAUUUCAUUACACACUUAAUUCCAUGGUGUUUAUAUUUUAUGAACUUAAUGUUUGUUAAAACGUGAGUAAACGUUGAAUUCAUCUUGUAUAUUUCAGAAUUCUUUCAAUAAAAGUGGUAAUGCGGUAUGGCGAUGUCCACAUGCCUUUUUUCAUUGCUAGGCGCGGGAUUAAGUGGCGAAUAUACAGAAGAAUAACGAGUGAAUAGUGAGAGCUGUACUAGAUGUGAGUUACGGCUUACAUUUGAAACGUCAGCCAUAUGGUUGCUACAGGAAUUGUCGCGUCGAUGUAGUUCUUAUGGCAAUCUCUCCCAGAGAGUAGCUCUUAUAAUUAUCUCUUGCGAAUAGAAGUAGAACCAACAGAAAUUCUCCUGUUCGUGGGUGGUUGGUGACAGUAAUGAAGCUAGUGUCGC